GACGAACGCUGGCGGCGUGCUUAACACAUGCAAGUCGAACGGAAAGGCCCUGCUUUUGUGGGGUGCUCGAGUGGCGAACGGGUGAGUAACACGUGAGUAACCUGCCCUUGACUUUGGGAUAACUUCAGGAAACUGGGGCUAAUACCGGAUAGGAGCUCCUGCUGCAUGGUGGGGGUUGGAAAGUUUCGGCGGUUGGGGAUGGACUCGCGGCUUAUCAGCUUGUUGGUGGGGUAGUGGCUUACCAAGGCUUUGACGGGUAGCCGGCCUGGGAGGGUGACCGGCCACAAUGGGACUGAGAUACGGCCCAGACUCCUACGGGAGGCAGCAGGGGGGAAUAUUGCACAAUGGGCGGAAGCCUGAUGCAGCAACGCCGCGUGCGGGAUGACGGCCUUCGGGUUGUAAACCGCUUUCGCCUGUGACGAAGCGUGAGUGACGGUAAUGGGUAAAGAAGCACCGGCUAACUACGUG
rnacentral:rRNA from 1 species